AUACCUCAAUCUCCAUCUUUUCUUCGGAUUGAUGGGUGACUUGGAUGUUGAGCCCUGCUGGUAUGCUAUAUCAGCUGGCUUUAAAUUUAUUAGCCGGCUCUGUACUGGAUCGGUUUGACUCGACGUGAUAAUAUUAUCGUUGAGGAUGCAUGUCUCAUGCAGCCGGAAAGUAUCAAAGCAGCUUCUAGCUUGCCUUUAGUGCACUUUUACAU
rnacentral:misc_RNA from 1 species